rnacentral:rRNA from 1 species
GAUGAACGCUGGCGGCGUGCUUAACACAUGCAAGUCGAACGGUGAAGCAGGAGCUUGCUCUUGUGGAUCAGUGGCGAACGGGUGAGUAACACGUGAGCAACCUGCCCCUGACUCUGGGAUAAGCGCUGGAAACGGCGUCUAAUACUGGAUCUGUGAUGUGACCGCAUGGUCUGCAUCUGGAAAGAAUUUCGGUUGGGGAUGGGCUCGCGGCCUAUCAGCUUGUUGGUGAGGUAAUGGCUCAGCAAGGCGUCGACGGGUAGCCGGCCUGAGAGGGUGACCGGCCACACUGGGACUGAGACACGGCCCAGACUCCUACGGGAGGCAGCAGUGGGGAAUAUUGCACAAUGGGCGGAAGCCUGAUGCAGCAACGCCGCGUGAGGGAUGGCGGCCUUCGGGUUGUAAACCUCUUUUAGCAGGGAAGAAGCGAAAGUGACGGUACCUGCAGAAAAAGCACCGGCUAACUACGUGCCAGCCGCCGCCGUAA